AGCGAACGCUGGCGGCAGGCCUAACACAUGCAAGUCGAACGAACUCUUCGGAGUUAGUGGCGGACGGGUGAGUAACACGUGGGAACGUGCCCUUAGGUUCGGAAUAACUCAGGGAAACUUGUGCUAAUACCGAAUGUGCCCUUCGGGGGAAAGAUUUAUCGCCUUUAGAGCGGCCCGCGUCUGAUUAGCUAGUUGGUGAGGUAACGGCUCACCAAGGCGACGAUCAGUAGCUGGUCUGAGAGGAUGACCAGCCACACUGGGACUGAGACACGGCCCAGACUACGACGGGAGGCAGCAGUAGGGAAUUUUCCACAAUGGGCGAAAGCCUGAUGGAGCAACGCCGCGUGCAGGAUGAAUGCCGUAGGGUUGUAAACUGCUUUUAUUAGUGACGAUUAUGACGGUAACUAAUGAAUAAGGACCUGCUAACUACGUGCCAGCCGCCGCGGUAACAC
rnacentral:rRNA from 1 species